GCUCCUGUCUAUACAAAGGAAGGAGGGAGAGAUGGGCAGACACGCCUGAAGAAAUCCUUGGAUACAGUCCAGCCAGAAUCCACCUUCUUCCUGUGCCUGGUCUUAUGCAAGAAACUUAUUUCACAGAGCUUGUGCAAGGAGGGUUUCUGACCUGCAGUGGGUUUGACUGAAAACCAUGAGGCCAGGAAAUUCCUGCUCUAACAUGAGAAGCAUGGGACACAGAGGUGCAAAGCAGUGCUAGAUGCCCAUGCCUGAGGCUCAC
rnacentral:lncRNA from 1 species